rnacentral:rRNA from 1 species
GAAGGAGGGACGGAGACGCGUAAGGCACGCGCACUGACGGAAUAGUGCGUUGAAGUGCGUAGGCUAUGAGACUUAUAGGUAAAUCCGUAAGUUGAGCUGAAACACGAUAGUACACUGAACCUACGGGUGAGGUGAUAGUUGCCCCGAGCAUGCUUCCAAGAAAAGCUUCUAAGCUCUAGGAUAAUACAACCCGUACCGUAAACCGACACAGGUAGUCGAGGAGAGUAUCCUCAGGCGCUCGAGUGAUCCAUGGCUAGGAACUCGGCAAAAUAGACUCGUAACUUCGGGAGAAGAGUCUCCCACCGCAAGGUGGGACGCAGUGAAGAGGCCCAAGCGACUGUUUAGCAAAGACACAGGACUCUGCGAAAUCGAAAGAUGAAGUAUAGGGUCUGACACCUGCCCGGUGCCGGAAGGUUAAGGAAGGGGCUUAGGGAGCAAUCUCGAAGGUCUUAACUGAAGCCCCGGUAAACGGCGGCCGUAACAAUAACGGUCCUAAGGUAGCGAAAUUCCUUGUCGGGUAAGUUCCGACCUGCACGAAUGGUGUAACGAUUUGGGCACUGUCUCAGCCAUGAGCUCGGUGAAAUUGUAGUAUCGGUGAAGAUGCCGAUUACCCGCAACGGGACGGAAAGACCCCGUGAACCUUUACUAUAGCUUCACAUUGUGCUUGAGUAUGGGAUGUGUAGGAUAGGUGGGAGGCUACGAAGCUGUGACGCUAGUCAUGGUGGAGCCGUCGUUGAAAUACCACCCUUCCCAUACUUAGGUUCUAACCCCGCAAGGGGGACAGUGUGUGGUGGGUAGUUUGACUGGGGUGGUCGCCUCCAAAAGAGUAACGGAGGCUCGCAAAGGUACCCUCAGCAUGGACGGUAAUCAUGCGAAGAGCGUAUAAGUACAAGGGUGCUUGACUGAGAGAACGACGGUUCGAACAGGUGCGAAAGCAGGCUUAAGUGAUCCGGUGGUUCUGUAUGGAAGGGCCAUCGCUCAAAGGAUAAAAGGUACUCCCGGGAUAACAGGCUGAUCUCCCCCAAGAGCUCACAUCGACGGGGAGGUUUGGCACCUCGAUGUCGGCUCGUCACAUCCUGGGGCUGGAGAAGGUCCCAAGGGUUGGGCUGUUCGCCCAUUAAAGUGGCACGCGAGCUGGGUUCAGAACGUCGCAAGACAGUUCGGUCCCUAUCUGUUGUGGGCGCAGGAAUAUUGAGGAGAUCUGACUCUAGUACGAGAGGACCGGGUUGGACGUACCGCUAGUGUACCAGUUGUGCCGCCAGGUGCAGCGCUGGGUAGCUAUGUACGGCACGGAUAAGCGCUGAAAGCAUCUAAGCGCGAAGCCGUCUCCAAGAUGAGUAUUCCACUGAGGGUCGUAGAAGAUUACUACGUUGAUAGGUUACAGGUGGAAGCGUAGUGAUGCGUGGAGCCGAGUAAUACUAAUUACCCGAUAGCUUCCUC